GGUCCGUCACCUACAUGCCCCGCCCCGGCGACGGCACGCCCCGCGCCGUCACCCUGAUACCCGGAGACGGUAUCGGCCCCCUCGUCACUGGCGCCGUCCAGCAGGUGAUGGAGGCGAUGCACGCCCCGGUCUACUUCGAGGCCUACGAGGUCCACGGCGACAUGACUACCGUCCCGACGGAGGUAAUCGAGUCGAUCCGUCGGAACAAGGUCUGCCUCAAGGGCGGGCUCGCUACCCCCGUCGGCGGGGGAGUGAGCUCCCUCAACG
rnacentral:misc_RNA from 1 species